AUUGAACGCUGGCGGCAGGCCUAACACAUGCAAGUCGAGCGAAGCCUUCGGGCUUAGCGGCGGACGGGUGAGUAACGCGUGGGAACGUGCCCUUUGGUACGGAAUAGCCCCGGGAAACUGGGAGUAAUACCGUAUGUGGUCGAGAGACGAAAGAUUUAUCGCCAAAGGAUCGGCCCGCGUUGGAUUAGGUAGUUGGUGGGGUAAUGGCCUACCAAGCCGACGAUCCAUAGCUGGUUUGAGAGGAUGAUCAGCCACACUGGGACUGAGACACGGCCCAGACUCCUACGGGAGGCAGCAGUGGGGAAUCUUAGACAAUGGGGGAAACCCUGAUCUAGCCAUGCCGCGUGAUCGAUGAAGGCCUUAGGGUUGUAAGGAUCUUUCAGUGGGGAAGAUAACGACUGUACCCACAGAAGAAGCCCCGGUUAACUCCGUGCCAGCCGCCGCCGUAAGAC
rnacentral:rRNA from 1 species